UUUAUAUUUAUAACAUCUAAGAGAAAAAAAAAAAAAAACAUUUAAGAGAAGAAAAAUAUGACUCAAAUUUCCAUAUCUUUUUAUGCUUUGAUAAUCUUUUUUUCUCUUUUUCUUGUUGUAACCAAUGGCCGAAAUAAGACGUGCAACUACAGUAGUGAAUGUCUAUUUCAUAAUUGUCCCCUUGGUUGGGUUAUGAAGUGUUUCACUUAUUUUUGUGCGUGCUCGCGCUUGUAACAGGAACAUGUACGAAUCAACAUUCGUAUCAAGUCAAUUUGUCGGUGGCUAUUAAAGAUGUUUAUCUAUUUUUUUUUUUUUUGGUAGAAGAUGUUUAUCCACUUUAUUUUGUAUUAAUAAGUUCUAUCCAUUAAUAUGAAAAAUAGUAUAUGUUUGAUAUAAGCAUAUAAUUUAAUUGUAUGUCAUAAUUUCCCUCACACUUUAAUAUAUAUUUUUAUUUGAUCUUAAUGGAGAUGGGUUCCCGGGCCUGAUGGGUUUAAUGGUUA